ACUAUGCUUAUUUUUUCAGUCGUACUGUUCCACAUUCUCACGUGUACCCAUCAGUUUGUUGUCAUUAAAAUUCUAACUGUUAGCGAUAAAUUUUGUCGCUGUUCUUAGAAAAACAUUCGCUUCAUAGUGUAGUGUGUAAUUUCUUGUGUCCGGAUCUUACGACGCAGGCUGGCGAGUCAUAAUGUUCUAGCUCACUAACAAAUUCGAACGUCGACUAGACUCGAAUUCAUCGGAGAUUGUUGGCAUCAGUAUGCUGUAGCACGAAGGCGAUGGCCAAGCAUACUAGUGAUGUGCAAAACGGCUGCAGAAUCACCUCGGUCCGGGCGGAGAUACCUUGCACGGCGAUAGGUCCCUUGGCGAUGAGCCGCUUAAUGUGCUACUAGUGUGGUAUGUGGAAUGUGUUUAUCUUUAGUUUCAUCGGUUUCAUCCCUACCAAGGUAAAUUCGGUUGUGUUGCUGUCAGCUUUGCAGCUAACAGAUAACCAUGUGCAGCACAGAACUACAUCAAGGAGAUAUUAAGCUGGUAACAAGAACAGUGUCGACAGAUGCUCCUUAUUCUGGACGGUGAAGGUUUCCAUCGAUCGAGAGGAUCUACGAGCACGUCAAGUUUUGGCGGCGCAUAUCAGCAAGCUUGUACCGUGGAUGCAAUAUUCCAAUAUUGGAAAAACAAACUCAUUGAGAAGGAAUCGUCGCCAGUUCAAUGACCUUAUUUUGACCAUCAGUCUCAACAUAUUUUCGAUUCCAACAUAUUUUCGGAGAAGCUCGAAGCAGAUUGUGAUAUGCAUUCCAAAAAAAACCAGACACAGGAGAACGUUGAGAUUCGAUGGAAUAUGGGAACAAGAAAACAAUUGUCUAUUCGAUGUUGACAUGAAGGUUGAUGUUGAGAUUUACAAGCGAACUGCAAAAAUCAUUGGUGUGCAAUGAAAGUUCCCAAUAUUUACGGACAAGACAAGAUAUUUAUUUUCAAUUGAAAUACAAACAUCAGUCACAGGUCGAGUGCGCCUUACGCUAUGCGGUGGAUUUUAUCUAAGAAGAUCUACUCGUGGAUAUUGGGAUACGGCAAUCAAAAUGAUUCCAAUGAUGUUACACUCCGUAUCAGCAAUUUGCCAAUGUGCUUCAGUGCUCCGAGCUUGCCUGAUUUGAUUCGUUCCCAGAUGUUGGUCGUUAAAUACAAUAGCUGAUUCAAAAACUGCCCGUAGCAGGUAAAACUGUUAAACGUCUAUCAGCUGGUAAAUUCAAAUGGCGAAUCGAUUCUAGUAUGUGCACGAAAUAACACUGCUGUUGAUUAGUUAACAGAAACAAAUUAUCGUACCAACUUGGAAGUGUGUUGCUAAGGUUUGCGAAGCUUUGACUCUCCAAUUAUUUUUUGGCUCUGCACAUUCAAUUUCCUAACACGGACUUGAAGAAAUCACAACCUGCGAGUUCUGUUCGUCAAAAAAAAAUCUCUAAGGCAUGAGGAAAGAAGCGAAUCGGGAGUUGUUGGAAGCACAUGCACUUGCGUCAGUGCUGGUGAUCCCAGAUUUGAGUGUACGGUCCCGGUUGUACUUGCAACCAACAAUCGGGCUUGGACUAAUUGCAAUGUGUGAUAAGAUCAACGGAUCAACAUGCUCUAAUGUUUACGAGUUCGAGAGAAGUUUUCGUCCACACAGCACCGCCGAGAGCAUCAAACGUGAGGAGGAAUGGAAAGAAACCACUUAGUUCACCAGCAAGAUAUUGGAUACAUACUGAUUUAUUGCCUGCAUGCAACGUUUAGCAAAAACAUACCGGAUUGGUUCAGAUCAUCGGUUCCUCCGCCGGAUCACUGGGAGCACUCAUGUUUUCGGAAGGGCAAGUACAAGGCAACACGAUUAUGUUUGCCAACAUGCUUAUGCUGCCUUGGAUCGGAAUACGCUGGACCCUUUUUAGUCCAUCCAGGUCCUGCUUCAUCGGUUCUGAUUUUGACACGCUUGGUUGCUCAUCAAUACAGCGAUGAACUGAUAACAAAUAUAGAACUGUCCAUAAUCGAUGACAGCAAACCCAAAGGAAAGACAAUAACCUUUGGAAAAUAUCAUCCUGUAGGUACUAAUGGCUGCUGGCUCCCUGUUCGUGCUGAGAAAGAGAAUAACUGCUUUUUCGUCGAUUGAAUUUUGAUAGCUGAGAUUUAUUUGUGCGAUGCAAAGUAUCUCUGCCUGGUCUCGAAGAUUCCUUAGAUAAUCCACGGGCACACCCGUAUACCGACAAUUUCAUCUGUGACAGCGUAUGUCUGCUGAAGGAGUACGAGUACGAAUAGAAAAGCGGUACCGGAGACGCUUGGAUUCUGUACGAUACUUCGUCGGACAAGGAAGUUAAUUUGAACUUUAAUAUACUAAAGCAGAAAUGGCUGCACAAUUCGUGAAUCAGUUAGGUGGAGUUUAUCACCAAUUUCGUACCAAAUACAUAGUAUUUGCUCGCACUAUCCAAAGAGUAUGAAGGUAAUCGUUGGCUGUACAAAUUAAAGUGCUGCCAGACAGUAGUAUCCGGAGGUUAGGAGAAAUCCGCUCAUCAGGAAAAUGUUUUUAAUACGCACGGGAACUUGGAACAUGGAAAAGACAAUUCGUUUCUCGAAGGCUGGCUUCCAGCUGGAACAAUUCGGAAGGUCAGCAGGCCUGUGGUUCAGUAUCAAGGAUCACUGGCUAUUACAUAAUUGCCGCCGACAAUCCAAUAGUUCUUUCCAAACAGCAGCUGCGAAGUCAUCGGUUAAAUGUAUGCCACCAAGUAACCUGCAUCACCUUCCCUGGAUAUUUGUUCGGCAAUGCAGGUCCCGUCGGUAGCAUGAUAAACAGGCAGAGAAUCCCACCAUUGGACAUGUUCACUCAUCCUUACGGCCCGGAGCGUGUCCAGGCAGCAAUUGUGCCUGUCACAGUCGGUGCUCAUGAACAUUUAUCUCUGUUGGUUUUCCAGCACCUACUCAGGCGAUGCAGAUAGCUAAACAGUCAGCCUAAUCAAAUCGUAGUUGUAAUAGGCAUCAAACCGGAGUAAUAAUUAAUCAGUCUGCUAAGUCGAUCAAGUGCCACGAGUAAUGUUCCAACCGGGUUUUAGUCUCCUGUAGCAGCCUUGGUAACUGCUUUCCGUAAUCAGAAACAACACCGAAUUGUGUCCAACUGUAGCACAAAGUUAAUAAAUAAUUGGAAAAAUUUAA